rnacentral:rRNA from 1 species
CCUACGGGAGGCAGCAGUCGGGAAUAUUGCGCAAUGGAGGAAACUCUGACGCAGUAACGCCGCGUGCAGGAUGAAGGUUUUCGGAUUGUAAACUUCUUUUGACAGGGAAGAAAAACGACACUACCUGUAGACUAUGCUCCGGCUAACUACGUGCCAGCAGCCGCGGUAAUACGUAGGGGGCACACGUUAUCCGGGGUUAUGCGGUGUAAAGGGUGCGUAGACGGAGAAGCAAGUUAGUUGCGAAAUCCCUCGGCUUAACUGAGGAACUGCAACCAAAACUACUUGCCUUGAGUACAGGAGAGGCAAGUGGAAUUUCUAGUGUAGCGGUGAAAUGCGUAGAUAUUAGGAAGAACACCAGUGGCGAAGGCGACUUGCUGGACAGUAACUGACGUUGAGGCACGAAAGUGUGGGGAGCAAACAGGAUUAGAUACCCCUGUAGUC